AACCUUAUGGACCUGCGGGCGUAUACCUGCGGAAGGAUCAUUACUGAGUGAGGGCCUUCGGGCUCGACCUCCAACCCUUUGUGAACACAACUUGUUGCUUCGGGGGCGACCCUGCCGUUUCGACGGCGAGCGCCCCCGGAGGCCUUCAAACACUGCAUCUUUGCGUCGGAGUUUAAGUAAAUUAAACAAAACUUUCAACAAUGGAUCU
rnacentral:misc_RNA from 1 species